UACGUAGGGUGAAAGCGUUAAUCGGAAUUACUGGGCGUAAAGCGUGCGCAGGCGGCUUUGCAAGACAGAUGUGAAAUCCCCGGGCUUAACCUGGGAACUGCAUUUGUGACUGCAUGGCUGGAGUGCGGCAGAGGGGGAUGGAAUUCCGCGUGUAGCAGUGAAAUGCGUAGAUAUGCGGAGGAACACCGAUGGAGAAGGCAAUCCCCUGGGCCUGCACUGACGCUCAUGCCCGAAAGCGUGGGGAGCAAACAGG
rnacentral:rRNA from 1 species